ACGCAACCCGCCUCCACCUACUCCUUCCUCCUUUCCCCUUCUCCACGGCAAGAAACCAGAAGAAAAACACCAUGGCCGCAUCUCACAGAAACGUUGAACGUGUCGUCGCCUCCGACCACCCCUCGCCGAGCUGAAGCCACGGAAAGAUGCGCCACGUUCUCCUCUACCUGCUCGUCCAAGGAAUCGAGCCGGGGCUCGUCCAAUCAAGCAUACGGUCGCCGAUUCCCCGCAGCGUUCGUCAUGCUUCUUCUCCGAUUCCGGCCGCCACACCCUUCUCCGGCCUUCGGCGUCUGCACCAUCAGCUUCCCGGUGAAGUUCCCGUUCCCCUGGACCUCUUCUUCAUCCCCGUCUUGCUCUGGUUCGAUCCAACGUCGGUGACCGUCUCUUUUAUCCGCAGGACCACGCCGCCGGCAAGGCUCCGGUGACCCCUGGCUUUGGCUCCACCACCAUCUGGUUCACCUCGUCGAGGCGCCCCAGCGCUCCAUCUCCUGCGUCCCGGUUUGUGCCGAAUCCAUUGAUCGGUGCUCAACCAGAGCUCACCUCCGCCAUGGAUGUUUUGUUCCCCAGAUCUCCGCCUUGGCUUGGUUCAAAACGUUGCGUGACAUGGACUUGACACGAUCAGACAUGUAGCAUAGUGAUCCAGCGCCUAUUGGGCCUAGGCCCAUGUUCCCGCCAGCUUCUUCGACGCUGAGCGUGCGUCAGGCCUCUAUCCGCUGCUCAGCAUUUGCUUCUUCCCGGAUAGGAUCGCGAAGUGAUGUGGUGAGAUACGCCAAGUUCUCCGGAUGUUCCUCGGCAAGCUUUAACAGGCAAGCAUUUCCCUAUACUCCUGUCCCUGCAGGAGUCGCUCACCUAUUUUAUUUUGCCUUCUCCCUCAUGCUAUCCUUAAGUUGCGUUCUUGUCGCGUGUCCCUUCCACUUGUUACCUCAAGCAGCCUAUAUUGCCUCCACCAAUCUCCUACAGCUAUUGUUUGGUUUCGGGUCUGCCUUGCGAGUCGUAGUGCAUGCUAGUGCUGUUUAUAUCUCGUUACCGUUAUUGCUAUCUUAUCGGGUUAUCUGUUGGAAGUUCAUGACACAUGGUUUAUGGAUAUAUCUGUUGAGGGUAUCAUGGUUACUUUAAUUGUUAAGCGGAGGCAUCAGUGAGUCAGUUGCUCGUUUUAUGACGGCUCACUUGUGUUUCUUUAAAGCUUAGGACCCGAGUUCCUGUUAUCUGUUCCGAGACUGAGCGCUCUAACCACACGUGGGUAUGUUUAUUGGGUCUCCCCUCGACCACUACCGGAAUCUUCAGCUUUGUCCAGUGGCCACAACUAGUUUGCAUGUUUUACCAUUUGUUGUUCGCGUGCAUGCCAGCCUGUUACUUCUUUAUCUUUGGGAAGCCCCUGGGUGCCUUGUAUCCCUUGUUUCUGGUAUGCACGUAUAGGUCGCGGAGCCGCUGCGAAGUGGUUUAUCGCCCCAGUGUGUGUUUAAACCAC